GUAUCAGAAGUGCGAAUGCUGACAUAAGUAACGAUAAAGCGGGUGAAAAGCCCGCUCGCCGGAAGACCAAGGGUUCCUGUCCAACGUUAAUCGGGGCAGGGUGAGUCGACCCCUAAGGCGAGGCCGAAAGGCGUAGUCGAUGGGAAACAGGUUAAUAUUCCUGUACUUGGUGUUACUGCGAAGGGGGGACGGAGAAGGCUAUGUUGGCCGGGCGACGGUUGUCCCGGUUUAAGCGUGUAGGCUGGUUUUCCAGGCAAAUCCGGAAAAUCAAGGCUGAGGCGUGAUGACGAGGCACUACGGUGCUGAAGCAACAAAUGCCCUGCUUCCAGGAAAAGCCUCUAAGCAUCAGGUAACAUCAAAUCGUACCCCAAACCGACACAGGUGGUCAGGUAGAGAAUACCAAGGCGCUUGAGAGAACUCGGGUGAAGGAACUAGGCAAAAUGGUGCCGUAACUUCGGGAGAAGGCACGCUGAUAUGUAGGUGAAGUCCCUCGCGGAUGGAGCUGAAAUCAGUCGAAGAUACCAGCUGGCUGCAACUGUUUAUUAAAAACACAGCACUGUGCAAACACGAAAGUGGACGUAUACGGUGUGACGCCUGCCCGGUGC
rnacentral:rRNA from 2 species